UGGCGAACGGGUGAGUAACACGUGGGGAAUCUGCCUAUAAGUGGGGGAUAACAUUCGGAAACGGAUGCUAAUACCGCAUAUAUUCAAAAACCGCAUGGUUUCUGAAAGAAAGACGGCUUUGCUGUCGCUUAUAGAUGAUCCCACGGCGUAUUAGUUAGUUGGUGGGGUAAUGGCCUACCAAGACCAUGAUACGUAGCCGACCUGAGAGGGUGAUCGGCCACACUGGGACUGAGACACGGCCCAGACUCCUACGGGAGGCAGCAGUAGGGAAUCUUCCACAAUGGGUGCAAACCUGAUGGAGCAAUGCCGCGUGAAUGAAGAAGGUCUUCGGAUCGUAAAGUUCUGUUAUUAGAGAAGAACAAGUCAAGGAGUAACUGUCUUGACUUUGACGGUACCUAACCAGAAAGUCACGGCUAACUACGUGCCAGCAGCCGCGGUAAUACGUAGGUGACAAGCGUUGUCCGGAAUUAUUGGGCGUAAA
rnacentral:rRNA from 1 species